CAUUGCAAUGUUGACAGAAGGUGCAUCACCUAUUUUAACUCACUUGGAGAGACGGAGUGGCAACGCCAAGCAAUUGCUCAACACUAGUGGCUGGUGGCUUCAUUACCUCGUUCCAGUGUCCUGUAAUACAACAGAGAAUCCGCCUGGCCUCACUUUCAUUUCAAACCACAGAUCGAACCAAAAAAUGUGGAAUUUGUGCCAAAAAUGUUUCAGGAAAAAAGAAAGUUGGCAAAAAAGAUGUUCCACUCAAUGUGCUUCAGCAGCCUAGAAAGGCAAAGACAAAGGUGACAAUAUUCAGCACUUUAACAGAGGGAGAGGUGGAAGAUCUUGCCAAGGGGUUUGGAAUGGCACUGGCCAAACAUGUGCCAAAAGACAAACUACUCUCAGGGAUUCCUGAAGAGGACAUCCCAGCAACACUGUAGACAAAACAGCUGAUUGCAGGUGAAACAUGGUGGUGGUUUCACCUCGCUCAGGUUCUUCAAUUCGUACGCUCUACAGCUAACACCACUCGGAAGUUGUAAACGUUCUGGAUCUCUUGAAUCAUCUGGAAACACUGACAUCACAACAGAGGCCACUUUGAGAUGGCAGACAUGCAGACAGGAAACAGCAGUCAUGAUCUUGUUGGCGAUGUGACUUCCACAGGACAGAGGCACUCCGUAGUAUCCACACCUGCCACUCUCCAAGAUGCACAUGAUGGUGGGACUCAGAGGAUAUUGACCACCUGAUUUGUGACAAUUAUCUGCUUAUGCACCACUGCAGCUGCAUCGGUUGAGCCGUACAAUGUUGUGGUCUGAGGGAAAAGACAUCAGUGAGAUAUCGAGGGAAAUAAAAGUCAUUUUAUUAUUCUAACUGAUUCUGUUUCACUGACCAGUUCCAGGAAGUAGGAGAAAGGUGUUUUGAGAGGAACAUAGGUUUUGUAGCAUUUGAAUGGCCCUG